ACGCAGAUUCAGGUUGUCCUCACACAGAGGAGCAGGUGGAGGUGGGGCUACGUACUGAGGCGCUGCUGGAGGCGCUCUCCUCGUUGUUGGGUGGAAGCGAGGCGAGGAGGCUGGAGCCUUACGGCAGGACUUGGGAGGCUUGGUCUUGGAGUCCUCGUACUCCUCGGCCCGGAUGAACAGGUUCAGCCUCAGGUUGUCCAUGAGCUCCAGGAUCUGUUCCAAGCUAAGCUGAGCCAGUUUACUGCUGGAACUGCAAAGACUGAGGAAGGAGACACCACCGCUGUUCAACAGGAACCACAGGGGGGUUAUAAGCAAGCCGCUUAUCAAGACGGGCCCCCACCCUGAGUCUCGGCCCCCGGGUUCCUAGCUGCUCCGGCCACCAAACCCUAAAC